GGGUGGACUAUGAUGAUAAAGAAAUUGAAGAAGAGGAAAUUCAGGAGGUGGAGGUGGAGGUAGAGGUUGGAGAUGAAGUGGAGGAAGAACAUGAGGGUUGUGUAGGUGAAGAAGAAGAGGGUGAUCUGGUGGAGGAGGAAUUGGAAGAUGUUGCUGAAGAACUUGAGGGUGAAGAGGAUGAUGAGCAUGCCGGUGAAGAGGCAGAUCAUGCUGAGAUGGUAGAUGGUGAGGAAGAGGAUCACCAUGAUGUUUUUAAGGAGAGACGCAAGCGAAAGGAGUUUGAAGUAUUUGUUGGAGGUUUAGACAAGGAUGCUACAGAGGAUGAUCUUCAGAAAGUGUUCAGCCGAGUUGGUGAGGUUACUGAAGUCAGGUUGAUGAUGAAUCCCCAGACCAAGAAAAACAAGGGAUUUGCAUUCUUGCGUUUUGCAACUGUGGAACAAGCAAAAAGAGCCAUUACAGAGCUCAAAAAUCCGGUGAUUAAUGGGAAAAAAUGUGGUGUUACACCAAGUCAAGACAGUGACACUCUUUUCUUGGGUAACAUUUGCAAGACAUGGACGAAAGAAGCUUUGAAAGAGAAGUUAAAACAUUAUGGAGUUGAGGAUGUUGAGGAUUUGACACUGGUAGAGGAUAGUAACAACAAGGGAAUGAAUCGUGGGUUUGCCUUUUUGGAAUUUUCAUCUCG
rnacentral:misc_RNA from 1 species